AUACUGUUCAUGAGGUUCUCAAGGCAAGAAUGCUGAAGUAGUUUGCAAUGCCAAAGAAUGUUUAAACUACUGCACAGUUGCACUCAUUUUGCAUGCUAGCGAGGUCAUGCUCAAAAUCCUCCAAGCUGGGCUUCAAUGGUACAUGAACCGAGAACUUCCAUGUACAAGUUGGAUUUAGAAAAGGCAAAGGAACCAGAGAUCAAAUUGCCAAUGUCCUCUGGAUCAUCGAAAAAGCAAGAGAAUUCUAAAAAAAAAAAAUCUACUUCUGUUUCAUUGAUUAUGCUAAAGUACUGUGUGGAUUGCAAGAAAUUGUGGAAAAUUCAUAAAGAGAUGGGAAUACCAGACCACCUUACCUGCCUCCUGAGAAAGCUAUAUGCAGAUCAAGAAGCAGCAGUUAGAACUGGACCUGGAACAAUGGACUGGUUCAAAAUUCAGAAAGGGGUACAUCAAGGCUGUAUAUUGUCACCCUGCUUAUUUAACAUCUAUGUAGAGUACAUCAUGCAAAAUGCCAGGCUGGAUGAAGCACAAGCUGUAAUCAAGAUUGCCAGGAGAAAUAUCAAUAACCUCACAUAUGCAGAUGACACCACCCUAAUGACAGAAAUCUAAGAGGAACUAAAGAGCCCCUUCAUGAAGGUGAAAGAGGAGACUGAAAAAGCUGGCUUAAAACUCAACAUUCAAAAAACUAAGAUCAUGGCAGCCAGUCCCAUCACUUCAUGGCAAAUAGAUAGAGAAAAAAUGGAAACAAUGAAAAACUUUAUUCUCUUGGGCUCCAAAAUCACUGUGCAUGGUGACUGAAGCCAUGAAAUGGCUGCUUCUUGGAAGAAAAUCUUUGACCACUCUGGACAGCAUAUUAAAAAGCAGAGAUAACAUAGGUUGUUCUAUUUAGAAUUCUAUUUAUAGUUAUAUAAUUUCCUUCCCUUUCAUUUGAUUUAAUUAAGAUGAGCUUCUUUCAAGAAUUUAUUGAAACACACAUAAAACAAGGUAAUAUAUUAAUUGUUUGAUGAAGACGAUGUAAACAGAAGCAUCCAGGAACAGAUUCUAUAUUUUCUGCUAGGAGAAGUGGCUCAAGGUUCUUGAUUGUUUGUGGCUAACAUACAACUGAGCUCCAGCAAAACUGAGAACUAACUAUAUAUUUUUAGUAGCAGUCAAGAAACUUAUUAGAGCAAGCAGACUGAAUAAUAGAAGCCUAAAUAAAGUCAGAAGAAUAUUCUCUGGUCGAAAGAGAACAGCUUUCUGCCACUAUUGUUGAGUUUAUGUUCACAAUGUGCAUGUAUUACUUCAAUGCAUCCAGAUACAGUUAACAUUACUUUUGGAUUCUUCAAAAUAUUUCAUUUUUCUCCAUGCUUGUUUUCCAUAGUAUUUAAGUGAAUCUGUCCAUUUUAUUUUUCAGGUGAACUUCAAAAAAAUCUUGAUAAGGGAGUACACGAUCAAGGUGAUCUUAGGAAAAAAUUAGGUAAGUAAGUGUCCCUGACAACAUUUUUGUUCCAAUAAUCUUCAACAACCAAUUUCUUGCUUCUUUUGCUAUCCCCUCUCUUUUUAUCUAUAUGCCAUAUUUUGAUUCACAGUUUAUCUCAAUGUCAACUCUUCUCUCCUCAGUAUUUUUGUUUAUGGACUUCUGUCACACUAUAUUCUCCCAUUUCUAUUACCCUAGACCUGAUUCUUUGUCAGUGCUUCCAGUUUCACUUCCUGUGCUCCUUCCCUAUAAACACUGUCCUAUACUAUCAUUGAAGGUCUUGUCAGUUUCACAGCGAAUUUUGUGAGAUGAAAAGGAUGAGACUGGUGGGCACAUGAUUUACAUUCUCUAUUUAUUUUCUGACACAGUUUCAGUAACUUAGGAUUUCCAUCAUGUAUUCAACAUUCAUGGGGCUAUUAAUAUUCCGUUGAUACCUCCUCAAAUCUUAUGAGAUAAAAUUCCAAAUUGCUGACAGAAGUUUCUCCAACUCUUGUCCUUCAAUGACUCUUAAGUUCAGGUGUAAUUCAAAGCUUCAGUGUGGACUUUAGCUUCUCUCUUUAAAUGUCUUUGACUGUUGUCUCGGGAUCCCUUUCAUUUGUACCAUUUCCUGGGUUUAUCUCAUGCCAUAGUAAACCUGUAUUUUUCUUAAAUUUUAUUGAUAUAAUGUUUAGCUUGGCAAACUACAAUAAUUUUAAAAUGUGGAAGGAAUAUGUAUAUUGAACAAAAAUUGCUUAUAUUUCUCAAUUUUGUAAUUUUAUGUGAAUGAUGUGAGAGGCUGGAGUCUUAGGAUACUCCAAAUGUCUUUUAAUAAAACUAAUAUAGCCAUUAAAAGUUUAACAUCCCUCUUUUCAUAGUGAUAUUUUUCACUUAUAUUUUUGUUUACAGAUUGAAUAUAACUAGGGAAUAGAUCUCUUCAGGUGUGCAGCAUGCUUCAUACUACUAGCGCUUCUGAUAGUUUCUUUCCUUUCAGUUUUCAGAUAUGAACUUCUCUCUUAUUAACUUUUUUCCACUGUUGUUUCCUUAUGUUCCCAUUUUUCUCAUAGCAGCUUUUUUGUUGCUGUUCCUUAC
ensembl:lncRNA